rnacentral:rRNA from 1 species
UACGGAGGGAGCUAGCGUUGUUCGGAAUUACUGGGCGUAAAGCGCGCGUAGGCGGCUUUGUAAGUUAGAGGUGAAAGCCCGGGGCUCAACCCCGGAACUGCCUUUAAGACUGCAUCGCUUGAAUCCAGGAGAGGUGAGUGGAACUCCGAGUGUAGAGGUGAAAUUCGUAGAUAUUCGGAAGAACACCAGUGGCGAAGGCGGCUCACUGGACUGGUAUUGACGCUGAUGUGCGAAAGCGUGGGGGAGCCGAACAGG